rnacentral:snoRNA from 1 species
AUUUGAAGAUGAUGAUGACAUAUAUCGAAAAUAAUAGAUGCUUUUUGUAAGUGCUGAAUUAAUAUAUUUGCACGUCAGUCUGAUUCCAUU